UAAAUACUCCUUCCGUCCGGAAAUACUUGUCUUAGAAAUACAUGUAUCUAGACUUAUUUUAGUUAUAGAUACAUCCAUUUUAUACAUUUCUAGGACAAGUAUUUCCGGACGGAGGGAGUAUAAG
rnacentral:pre_miRNA from 1 species